rnacentral:rRNA from 1 species
UACGUAGGUGGCAAGCGUUGUCCGGAAUUAUUGGGCGUAAAGCGUGCGUAGGCGGUUCGUUAAGUUCGUUGUGAAAGCCCCGGGCUCAACCUGGGAAUGGCAAUGGAAACUGGCGGGCUGGAGUAUGGCAGAGGGGGGUGGAAUUCCGCGUGUAGCAGUGAAAUGCGUAGAGAUGCGGAGGAACACCGAUGACGAAGGCAGCCCCCUGGGCCAAUACUGACGCUCAGGCACGAAAGCGUGGGGAGCAAACAGG